AACGCACCUUGCGCUCCUUGGUAUUCCGAGGAGCAUGCCUGUUUGAGUGUCAUGAAAUUCUCAACCUAUCUUGUUUUAUAACUGGUUAGGCUUGGAUCAUGGAAGUUGCUGGCUCAAUUAGAAUCAGCUCUUCUCAAAUGUAUUAGCAGAGACUUUUGCUGACCAUCAUUGGUAUGAUAAUUAUCUAUAUCAUUGGUAACCAGUUCCCUUUCAUAGGGAAGUCUUGCUUCUAAUAGUCGUUUCGACAACUUGACACCUUUGACCUCAAAUCAGGUAGGACUACCCGCUGAACUUAA
rnacentral:misc_RNA from 1 species